rnacentral:rRNA from 1 species
UGACCUCGGAUCAGGUAGGAAUACCCGCUGAACUUAAGCAUAUCAAUAAGCGGAGGAAAAGAAACCAACAGGGAUUGCCUCAGUAACGGCGAGUGAAGCGGCAACAGCUCAAAUUUGAAAUCUGGCCUCUUUGGGGUCCGAGUUGUAAUUUGUAGAGGAUGUUUCGGGUACCGCUCCGGUUUAAAUUUCUUGGAACAGAAUGUCAGAGAGGGUGAGAAUCCCGUCUUGGACCGGUGGUAGGACCUAUGUGAAACUCCUUCGACGAGUCGAGUUGUUUGGGAAUGCAGCUCAAAAUGGGUGGUAAAUUUCAUCUAAAGCUAAAUAUUGGCCAGAGACCGAUAGCGCACAAGUAGAGUGAUCGAAAGAUGAAAAGCACUUUGAAAAGAGAGUUAAACAGUAUGUGAAAUUGUUGAAAGGGAAGCGCUUGCACCAGACUUGA